AACGUAGGGGGCGAGCGUUGUCCGGAAUUACUGGGCGUAAAGGGCGCGUAGGUGGUGCAUUAAGUUAGAGGUGAAAGUGCGGGGCUUAACCCCGUGAGGCCUCUGAUACUGGUGGACUUGAGUGCAGGAGAGGGGAGCAGAAUUCCCAGUGUAGCGGUGAAAUGCGUAGAUAUUGGGAGGAAUACCAGUGGCGAAGGCGGCUCUCUGGACUGUAACUGACACUGAGGCGCGAAAGCGUGGGGAGCGAACAGGAUUAGAUACCCUGGUAGUCCACGCCGUAAACGAUGAGUGCUAGGUGUUGGGGGUAUCGACCCCCCCAGUGCCGUAGUUAACACAAUAAGCACUCCGCCUGGGGAGUACGGUCGCAAGACUGAA
rnacentral:rRNA from 1 species